CGCAUUCUCUUCGUCUAUGUCAGGCAUAUCAAAGGCACUUAGUAGAUAUUUGUGGAAUGAUUUAAUGCCUAACUGGAAGAUUGCUGUCUGUCCUGGUCCUCAGCUAAGAGUUGGGCUAAGACAGGAUAAGAGAAUUUUCUCUCUUUCCUUUUCUUGGUCUGGUCAGGGCCAUGUCUUUUACCCAGUCACAGGACUGAUGAACUGGGGUGUUCAGGGAUUCAAGGUGGGAGCAUAGCCCUCCCCACUUAUGUCGUACUUUGUUCCAUGGGGAGCGAAUCAGCCCUUUCUCACCUCAGGUUGUCUGGCCACCACUGAAAUGGAGCACUUCCUAACUUCCCCCACAACUGCCUCUCUUGAUACAAACUGGUGAGCAGUACAACCAGGUGGUCUGCUCAGAACUGAAUCUGCUUCCCUAUGACUGCGGCUGUGUCAUUGGGCCAAGGCUGUCUGCAGAUCCUCUUCCCAAUUAGGAAGAGAACUUUCCCUGAAGGCUUCUCACUCCUGUAUGCAAAUGUCCUGCUGGGAGCCCAGCCCCACUAGCUCCUUAAAUCUGUUUAGCUCUAUUUGAAUCCCAGGGGCUGCACACUGCUUAGGCUCUGUCUGGGAUGCCCAGUAGGUCCAAGGGUGCUUUCUAUUUUCCUCCCCCGCCUCCCCCCUCAAAUGGCCUUUAUUUUUCUCUUCCUUCUCUGAGGAUAAGUCUGGUAAAGGCAUUUAAGAAAUGGAUUAUGGAUGCAGCAUAAUGUAAAACAUUACAUUUGUUUUACAUCUGCAAAAGACGAAGCUGAAAAUUAAGGGAAUGAUGCCUUAAGUGUAGGAAGGUGCAUAGUUUUGGGUGUUCUUGAACUCAUACAAUGUAGGCAGCUCUCCCAUUCGGGCUUAAAGCUGUUCUUUCAUGACACUGUGCCAGGUACUGCCUGAGGAAGGCAGAACAGAGGCCAAAGGCAGCAGCUGGGCCAGGAAGCAAAACCCAGCGAGUCUCCCUGGAGCUAGGAGGAAGCUAGGUUGCUCUGUAUGUCUACUUGUUGGUCACAAUAAGACUCAGGCUCUAGAGCCAGGCAUCCUUGGUGCAGGACCCAGUUGACACCUUCCCAGGUUCAUGAACAUCUGUACCUCGCCCUCCUCAUCUGUGAAAUGUGUAGAAUAAGAGCUAAGUGCCCUGACCUCAGGGUCAGACUCCACCAUUUUUGCUCUUUGGGAGUUUGAGCAAGUGCCUUCCCCCUUUUGCACCUGUUUCCUCAUCAGAUGGUGAUCUCAAGUGUCUACUGACAACAUCAGGGAUGUUUGCUAUUACUGUUGAUAUUGUUACCAUUAGUGCCCACCUCAGAGGUCCUGUGAGAAUGCCAGAGACAGAGAGCUUGCCUGGCAUGUGCUGAAUUUCAGCUGGGUGGUGAAUUUCAGCUGGUGCUGCUACUCCUUCUAACAACACUAGCUCAACUCAGCAAGUGAUAUGACUUCAUUCAAAUCAGUGUGAGCUUAAGGUAAAUUUUUUUUAUAGGUUUAGGAGAAGGAGGCCUCUCCACCUUGCUUUUCCCUUCCAUACACUCAAGCUAAUGACUCACUUUUCCCUAGGAGUUUCUGUGAGGAAUGUCAGAAGCUUUCAUGCAUGUGGGAGCCGCCCUUAAUCCCUGAUAAGGGGAAGAAAGAAGGAAUACAACCAAGCGAUAUGAGAGCCCGGAACUCAAGUGGAGGAAACAAAGACUAGGAUGUGAUGAUGCCUUGUUGCAUGGACUUGAUGGACUACUGGUAGGUGGUGUCCAGGUUUGCUUACAAAUAGGUUUUUGGGCUAUAUUUCCUCACUUUCCAUUUUAUCCUGUUUCUACCUGUCCUGCUCUUUGAUGUAGGACACAUGGAAACAUAUGAACUCCAUUCAUUCAAGUAUUUAUUUAGUUGCUUAGUUAUGGAUGUGACGUUGCUGGGAGCCCAGGACCCCUGGCUGUGGGGAGUCAGAGAAGAGGAAGCACCUUCCCUGCCUCUGUGAGCCUUUUUGCUGCUCAGGGAGGUGGUGCAUAAGGAUAAGGAAUGACCCAGUGCCUGGUGAUGCCACAGGAAAGGCGUCUAUGAAAUAUUUCAGAGGAAAGGAAAUACCCACCCUUCCUCUCCCAGGCCACAUGGGAAGAAAACUUGAGGGGACCUAAUGGGCCUGAGUCCACUGCCACUCUGUGCCUGGAACACUCUUGGCGAGGAAGGGGUCUGGCUUUGUGGUUGGUGAGGAUGGAGUAUUGUAAUCAAUGGAGCAGCUGUCAUAGCUCAUUAGCAAUGGCCACAUGGGGGCCAAAUUCUACCGACAGUUUAAAACCGCUUUCCUUCCCACCCCACCCAAACACCUUCAGGCUCAAGUUCCAGGGGCAUUUAUGGUUUAUAUACAUGAUUUUCCCCUGCCUUGUAUAUUUCACAAACCAAUUUAUAGGUACCCAUUUGGCCCCCUUAACGAGGCUGGAUGUUUCUUAAGGGUCUAAUUCUUUUAUUCCUUGUAUGGGUGGUAUUGGGCACUUAGAACUCAAUAAUAAUUUACCAGUCGAUUGGUGAAUAUGCAAGUGAAUCGGACAGAUCACAAAAACUCAGAAAGGAAGGGGUUCAGGUACCAAGAGAAAGUCUUAAGAGAUGUUUAGUCAUUUACAGAACUCUUAGCAUCUAUCAGGCAUGGGACUGAGCAGUUUCUAGUUAUUAACUUAGAGAAUCUUUACAACUCCAUAGGGUCAGUAACAUCAUUCUUGUUUUAUAGCUGGGGAAACUGAAUCCUGGAGGUUAAACUACCCUGAUUAAGAUCAUAGAGCUAGUUAAGUGGUAGGCCUGGGUUUCAAAUCCACAGCACUUCAAUUCUGAGGUUUAUGCUUCUACUACUAUGACAUUCUAUCAUCUUACUUUUGGAGUCUGAUGUGCUAAUCAAGUGGGGUUGUCUGUCGAAUACAAUGCUGUUUUUCUGUGUCUGGUUUUCUAAUCUCCCCAUGCUUUCCAGCUCUAAAGCUUAUGGGCUUGAGCUUAAAUUUAGCAAUCUUUCAUUUCUAACUGCUAACUUAGUUUGGAUAUCAUAUCCCAAAAUUUGGAUCCAAUGUAUAUAUUUCUUGGGGAAGCAAAAAGUGCAAACCUUCCAGCAUCUGUUACUUAUAAUUGCUCUGCAUUAAAUUACAAUUUUGGAUUUGAAUUUGAAAAAGUGCCUUUCAGUACCAAGACUUUGAUAUGGAAAUGAACAAGAGUAAGAUGUAAUUGAUACCCUCUGUAUUAUUCUUCAAUAGCGGGAGAUGUGUUAAAAAAAAAAAAAAAA
ensembl:lncRNA